rnacentral:rRNA from 1 species
UUUCCAGACUCCUACGGAGGCAGCAGUGGGGAAUAUUGGGCAAUGGGCGCAAGCCUGACCCAGCAACGCCGCGUGAAGGAAGAAGGCUUUCGGGUUGUAAACUUCCUUUCUCAGGGACGAAGAAAGUGACAGUGCCUGAGGAAUAAGCCACGGCUAACUACGUGCCAGCAGCCGCGGUAAUACGUAGGUGGCAAGCGUUGUCCGGAUUUACUGGGUGUAAAGGGCGUGUAGCCGGGUUGACAAGUCAGAUGUGAAAUCCUGCGGCUUAACCGCAGAACUGCAUUUGAAACUGUUGAUCUUGAGUACUGGAGAGGCAGACGGAAUUCCUAGUGUAGCGGUGAAAUGCGUAGAUAUUAGGAGGAACACCAGUGGCGAAGGCGGUCUGCUGGACAGCAACUGACGGUGAGGCGCGAAAGCGUGGGGAGCAAACAGGAUUAGAUACCCGAGUAU